rnacentral:rRNA from 1 species
GAUGAACGCUGGCGGCGUGCCUAAUACAUGCAAGUCGAGCGAACAGACGAGGAUCUUGCUCCUCUGACGUUAGCGGCGGACGGGUGAGUAACACGUGUAUAACCUACCUAUAAGACUGGGAUAACUUCGGGAAACCUGAGCUAAUACCGGAUAAUAUAUUGAACCGCAUGGUUCAAUAGUGAAAGACGGUUUUGCUGUCACUUAUAGAUGGAUCCGCGCCGCAUUAGCUAGUUGGUAAGGUAACGGCUUACCAAGGCAACGAUGCGUAGCCGACCUGAGAGGGUGAUCGGCCACACUGGAACUGAGACACGGUCCAGACGCCUACGGGAGGCAGCAGUAGGGAAUCUUCCGCAAUGGGCGAAAGCCUGACGGAGCAACGCCGCGUGAGUGAUGAAGGUCUUCGGAUCGUAAAACUCUGUUAUUAGGGAAGAACAAAUGUGUAAGUAACUAUGCACGUAUUGACGGUACCUAAUCAGAAAGCCACGGCUAACUACGUG